GAGUGCAAUUCUCAAACCGUAUUAAAGAUGCUUUGUCAAGAAAUAAAGCAGUAAGGGAAAGAGUGUUUCCAGUUUGCUUUCCUUCAAAAAGUUCUCAUACUGGUCAUUUUACUAGAGAUGAUACUUAUUACUUAAGUAUAAAGACGUCCGAAACUUGUGUUGUUUAAAGAAUCUUAAUGUAA